rnacentral:rRNA from 1 species
CCUACGGGCGGCAGCAGUAGGGAAUAUUGCUCAAUGGGGGAAACCCUGAAGCAGCAACGCCGCGUGGAGGAUGAAGGUUUUCGGAUUGUAAACUCCUUUUGUUAGAGAAGAUACUCACGGUGUGUGACGAAUACUCACCGGCUAACUCCGUGCCAGCAGCCGCGGUAAUACGAGGGGUGCAAGCGUUACUCGGAAUCACUGGGUAUAAAGCGCGCGUAGGCGGGAUAGCAAGUCAGAUGUGAAAUCCUAGGGCUUAACCAUAGAACUGCAUUUGAAACUGUUAUUCUAGAGUAUGGGAGAGGUAGGUGGAAUUCUUGGUGUAGGGGUAAAAUCCGUAGAGAUCAAGAGGAAUACUCAUUGCGAAGGCGACCUGCUAGAACAUAACUGACGUUGAUGCGCGAAAGCGUGGGGAGCAAACAGGAUUAGAUACCCUAGUAGUC